AAGUGAUCCUGGUUUCAGGAUUUAAUUAAAUAUUGUUUUCAUUUACAUUGAAAAAUUUUUUGUGUAAUUCAAAAUGUUCUGAUUAGUUUUAUCUAAUUUUUUUUGUAAUGCUUUUUUUACGUUUUUUUAAAAAUUUUUUUGUCUUAUGUUUGGCUAAGUAAUUUAAUUUGAAUUGCUUUAUUUUAUUAUAGUAUAUUUUUAAUGUAGGUGGGGGUUUUUUUUAAAAUGAAAGAAUUUUUUUAUAUUUUACCUUUUGUAUCAGGGUUUAUUGAAUGAGUUUUUAUUAUUAAGUUUUCCCGAAUUAACAGGAUUUAUUUUAAUAUGUCUUUUAAUGUUGCAUAAUUAUUUUGAAUAUUAAAGUGGUGGUGAAAUGUCAUUCGGUUGUUAUUAUAUCUGGUUUCCUGAGAUUAAAUUAAAUUUUACAGGGAUUUUAAAUUUGGGGUGUUUUUACUGAAUUUUAAAUUUUUUGUUAUUCUUCAGGGGCUAAGCUCUGUAGGGUUUCUAUAAUUUUGUGUUUAAUGAAAUUUUUCAUAGGCUUGAGAAUAGUUAUUGUUUAAAGUAUGUUGUAUUUUAUUUUUUUUUUUAUUUUUGAUUUAUUAAUUAUUUAGAUGUAAUAUUGGGAUAUAGGUUGUAAUUUUUUUUAUUGAUUAAUAAUGAUUGAAUUAGUAUAUUUUAUGUUUACUAUAGUUGUAAUAGUAUGUUAAUUAAAGGAAUUCGGCAAGUUUUUAAUUUUUCCGACUGUUUAUCAAAAACAUUUUCUGAAGUUUUUAUUUUAGAUGGGGCCUGCUCACUGAGUAGUUAAAGAGCCGCGGUAUUUUGACUGUGCAAAGGUAGCAUAAUCAUUAGUAUAUUAAUUGUGUACUGGAAUGAAGGGUUUAACGAGAGGGAUCCUGUCUUUAGUUAAUAUUUAGAAUUUUAUUUUUCAGUAAAAAAGCUGAAAUAUUUUUUUUGGACGAUAAGACCCUAUAGAGUUUUAUUUAAUGAUUUUUAUAUAAUUUGGGUUAAAUUUUAUUUAUUUUUAAAUUUUGAGUUUGGUUGGGGUGAUCUGAGUGAUAGUAUAACCACUCAUUUAUAUACUUCAGAGAUUUUUGUUUUUGUUGAUCUUGUAUUAUUGAUUAGAAGAUAAAUUACCUUAGGGAUAACAGCGCAAUUAUUUUUGAGAGUUCGUAUUGACAAGGUGGAUUGCGACCUCGAUGUUGGAUUAAGAUUAUUUUUAGGUGUAGGCGC
rnacentral:rRNA from 1 species